CAGCAGCAGCCGCGGGAAUACGGAGGGUGCAAGCGUUAAUCGGAAUUACUGGGCGUAAAGCGUGCGUAGGCGGUUCGUUAAGUCUGUUGUGAAAGCCCCGGGCUCAACCUGGGAAUGGCAAUGGAUACUGGCGAGCUAGAGUGUGUCAGAGGAUGGUGGAAUUCCCGGUGUAGCGGUGAAAUGCGUAGAGAUCGGGAGGAACAUCAGUGGCGAAGGCGGCCAUCUGGGACAACACUGACGCUGAGGCACGAAAGCGUGGGGAGCAAACAGGAUUAGAUACCCCUGUAGUCCCUGUCUCUUAUAC
rnacentral:rRNA from 1 species